rnacentral:lncRNA from 1 species
GCCGGGAAGGGCCCUAUAAAAGCCCGGGUGCUAUUUACGCCGCGCGGGUUGGGCUGUUGCGCCUGCGCGGUGAGAGCGGGGCCUGCCGCCGGUGGGAGCCCGCGGGGCGGCCCUGGGCCCCUCUCAGGCAGAGAGGGGAACUGUGUGGAGGUGUUCCCCCUGCCCCUGCUUGGCUUUGAGCUGGGUAGACUAUGGGGCUCGCUUCGGGUCUAGUAGUGUGUGGCCUGUAGGGGAGCCUUGCUGCUCGGCGCGGCCCCCUGUCCGGGUGUUGCUAGGCCAGGGGGAGGCGGCUGUGGUGGGGGUUGUGGUGUCAGGCUACCCCGUCUGUCUGCAGGCCUUUCAGAUGUGCCUGUUGGGGCUGGGAGUUGGUUCCCUGUUUCUUCCAGUCGAGCAGAGAUCCUUGUGGUCUAUUACUACUUUCAUGGUCCAUUGGGAAGUCUGGCCUUUGUUUACACAAGACUGUUGGGUGUUUUGA